rnacentral:rRNA from 1 species
CACGGGGUACGGCUAAACCAUGCAAGUCGAACGGCAGCACAGGAACAGGUUGCUCUCUGGGUGGCGAGUGGCGGACGGGUGAGGAAUACAUCGGAAUCUACUUUUUCGUGGGGGAUAACGUAGGGAAACUUACGCUAAUACCGCAUACGACCUACGGGUGAAAGCAGGGGAUCUUCGGACCUUGCGCGAUUGAAUGAGCCGAUGUCGGAUUAUCUAGUUGGCGGGGUAAAGGCCCACCAAGGCGACGAUCCGUAGCUGGACUGAGAGGAUGAUCAGCCACACUGGAACUGAGACACGGUCCAUACUCCUACGGGAGGCAGCAGUGGGGAAUAUUGGACAAUGGGCGCAAGCCUGAUCCAGCCAUACCGCGUGGGUGAAGAAGGCCUUCGGGUUGUAAAGCCCUUUUGUUGGGAAAGAAAUCCAGCUGGCUAAUACCCGGUUGGGAUGACGGUACCCAAAGAAUAAGCACCGGCUAACUUCGUGCCAGCAGCCGCGGUAAUACGAAGGGUGCAAGCGUUACUCGGAAUUACUGGGCGUAAAGCGUGCGUAGGUGGUCGUUUAAGUCCGUUGUGAAAGCCCUGGGCUCAACCUGGGAACUGCAGUGGAUACUGGGCGACUAGAGUGUGGUAUAGGGUAGCGGAAUUCCUGGUGUAGCAGUGAAAUGCGUAGAGAUCAGGAGGAACAUCCAUGGCGAAGGCAUCUACCUGGACCAACACUGACACUGAGGCACGAAAGCGUGGGGAGCAAACAGGAUUACAUACCCUGGUAGUCCACGCCCUAAACGAUGCGAACUGGAUGUUGGGUGCAAUUUGGCACGCAGUAUCGAAGCUAACGCGUUAAGCUCCCCGCCUGGGGAGUACGGUCGCAAGACUGAAACUCAAAUGAAUUGACGGGUGCCCCCCCCACCCGGGGAGUUUUUGUUUCAUUCCAUGCCACGAAAAAAACUUACCUGGCUUGACAUGGCGGAAGUUUCCCAAAAAAGAAUGGGGGCUUUCUUAAAGUGAAACCAACCCCCCGCGGGGUUUGUCCGGGUGGGUUUUUUCUGUGAGAGGGGGUGUCCCCACCAACAGGGGCCCUUC